rnacentral:rRNA from 1 species
GUCUACGGUCAUACGACCCUGAACAUGCCCGACCUCGUCUGAUCUCGGAAGCUAAGCAGGGUCGGCGGUUAGUACUUGGAUGGGAGACGGCUGGGAAUCCCGGGUGCUGUAGGAC